GCGGAGCGGGGGCGGGCCUAUGCUAGUCACGUGGGCGCGGGGUCGGGGCCGGGGCGGUGCGGGGCGUCUCCGAGCGGCGAGCCGAGGGAGGGCGCAACAGCUGCUCCCUGAACACUUUCUGACCUAACAGUUCCCCAGCGCCGGACGCGCCGCGCCCCGGCGGCUCUAGGGACCCCCCGCGCCUGCACUUAGCCCCGCGCCCAAGACGUGUAUGAAAUUUGGUGCCGUGACUCGGAUCGGGGGACCUCCCUUGGGAGAUCAAUCCCGUGUCCUCCUGCUCUUUGCUCCGUGAGAAAGAUCCACCUAUGACCUCAGGUCCUCAGACCGACCAGCCCAGGAAACAUCUCACCAAUUUCAAAUCCGCCCACACACAGGUGAAUUUAAAGGAGCAGCCCUGGUGUCACCUAUCAGUAAAAGAAUGUUAGAACGACUUUCCAAGUUUGAAGUUGGAGAUGCUGAAAAUGUUGCUUCAUAUGAGUAAGUCAGUUUGAAGUUCGAAAGGAGGGAGCCAUUGAUGGAUCUCUUUAGUUAAACAGGGCUUCCGCUGAGGCAAGAAGGAAAAAGGGAAACUAUGGAAAGAUAUCAAAAUGUAUGGGUGGGAGGGUACACUGUAUUUACUCCAGUUGAAUUCUUAGACAAGUAUUAUUUUGAAAAAAAUUUCCAUCCAUUCAGAAAUAAAUGUUCUUCUAGCUUGAAAAUGUAAAAAGUAUUCUUAGAGGAAAUUAAUUCCAUUAAAAGUUUUUUUAAAAAAACAGGAAUGCAGAAUGCUACUUAACUCAUCAAUAGUGAACGUUUCUCAUUUUUACUGGAUAUGGUGUGAUUCCCAAUUUUGUAGAUUUUGCCUAUGAGCAAAUAGUAUUGAUAGGAAAAGCCAACAUAUUUUGCUGACUAAAGACCUCUUUAUGGUCAUUGGGAUUUUAUUCUUAUUUGUUUCUAAUCUCACUAGAGUACUUCCUGUUGCACUGACCUGAAGGCAUUUUAUCGUGUACUCACUGUAAUGAAACAAUACAUUCUUAAACUGGCUUGUGUCUGAACUGCAGACAUAUUCAGGAGAUUUUUCUUCUGCUGCUUUUUUGCCCAGUUGUAUAACCAUUCACCAGCUUGUGUCAAUGCUGGAGAGGAAGUACUGCCAUAGAGGAAGUUAACUCACCAUGGUUGUAAGCUGUUGGUGUCUAAACAAAGAUUGGAAACAAAGAGGGCAAAUACAAAUAGUUCUUCAAAUUACUCUGAAUUUGCCAUUGAAUUAAACUGUGUCUGCAGAUUAGCUGUACAUUUUCUGUAAUGGAGCUGCCCAGGGCUGAAACAAAAUUAGAUUAAGCAAGGCAAGCAUUUCCUUCUUUCCCGACUCCAAACAAAAUAAAGCAGGUUUUCAUUUUAUUUUAUUUUUAAAUUACAAAGUCUCAUUACGUAGAUAUAGGAGGAAUUUGCAGUAGUCCCUGUGAGAAAUGCUGGUGUUUCAUACCAGGGGGAUGAUACUGGAUUUAUAGUAAAAGCUGGAAUCAGUGCUUGGCUUUGGCCUCAUAUAUUCAUUCACCUGAUACUCAGCAAGUUACUAACCCUCUUUAACUUUCAGAUUAUUCAAAUGUAAACUGGCUAUAAUGCAAUCUAUGUACUGGAUAUUGUAUUGUAAAAAAUUAGUAAUAAAACGAAAAUAACAUGCAAAAAUACUUUGAAAACUGUAGAUCUGUAAAUAGGUUUUAUUCUAAAAACUGAAAAUAACGUAGGAGUUCAUUAAAGGAAAAUCAGAAAAUACAAUCAACAAAUCUACCCACAUAUAGUCAUUCUUAAACUUUGAUGCAUGCACUUCUAAGUUCUUCAAGCAUGUACUUUUUUUGUUUACAGAUAUGAGACCAUACUUAUUCUUUUGUAAAUAACCUUAUUAAUGACAUCAUGGUUUUUUUUGUUAAUAUAUAUUCAUGUGCACUUACAACAUUUGUAACAGUUGUGUGAUAUUUCAUGGUGUAGAUGUGCUAUAAUUCAUUUAAUAGUCAGAUAUUGCUGAACAAUUAAGUUUUUUACAAGUUUUUAACUGUUACAAAAAUGAAUAUAUUUGAGGCUAAAUCUCUGUAUAUUGUUGGUUAUUUGCUUGUUAUAAAUUCUCAGAAGUGGAAAUUCUGUAUCAAAGGGAAUGAUUGUGACGCUAUUGAUAUUGAUAUGUGCUUUAACAUCAAGAUGCAAAGUGUACAUUUCUCCCCUCCCACACUUAACACUAGCCAUCAUUGAUUUCUCUGAUAUUAGUAAAUAUAUUUGUUCUAAUGCACGUUCUUUGACACACCUUCAUUUAUCCUUUUCUGUCUAUGGACUGAAAAGUUAAAUCUAUUGAUCCUUUUUCUAUUUUAUGUAAUAUAAGCAAUUUCUCCCAGGUUGUCUUGCUUUUCACUAUAUAAAAGCAUUUAAUCCUCAUGUAAUCAAAUGUAUCUGUACUUUUCUUUGUGAUUUUGCCUUUAAUGUUAUUGUCAGAAAGUCCUUCUUACCCCAAGAUUUUAAACAUAUUCACCAAAAUUUCUGUUUUGAAUUUAUUUUCUUCAUUUAAAUAAAAUAUCUGCCCUGAAUUUA